rnacentral:rRNA from 1 species
UACGAAGGACCCAAGCGUUAUCCGGAUUUAUUGGGUUUAAAGGGUCCGUAGGCGGUUUAAUAAGUCAGUGGUGAAAUCUGGUCGCUCAACGAUCAAACGGCCAUUGAUACUGUUAGACUUGAAUUAUUGGGAAGUAACUAGAAUAUGUAGUGUAGCGGUGAAAUGCUUAGAUAUUACAUGGAAUACCAAUUGCGAAGGCAGGUUACUACCAAUAUAUUGACGCUGAUGGACGAAAGCGUGGGGAGCGAACAGG